rnacentral:misc_RNA from 1 species
UCCGGUUUGGCACCGGCAGUCCUCCCAGAGUCCCCGACUUGACUCGCUGGCAACUGGGAGCGGGGGUUGCGCUCGUUGCGGGACUUAACCCAACAUCUCACGACACGAGCUGACGACAGCCAUGCAGCACCUGUCUUGGGACUCCGAAGAGGGGCCGUGGUUUCUCACGGCUUUCCCCAAGAUGUCAAGCCCAGGUAAGGUGGGGAUGACGUCUCACAGACUAUAC